rnacentral:rRNA from 1 species
AUGAACUAUGAUUUAUCUAGAUUGGUAUAUGAGAGUCUCCUUGGCAGUAUUAAGAAGUUUAAGGAUUCUACGAAGGUUGCUUCUAAGAGAUCAGUGACAUUUGGCGGUUGUCACUACACAUUCGCUAUCUUGUAUCUUGACCAUGUGCAUUUUGGGCUGAAUUCUCUACCUGAUAUCAAGCCUAGGAUACUUGUCUGGAGAGGUAAUACAGUUAAGCAUUUCUCGGAACUAGAUAAGAACAAUAGUCGCUCUUAUGGAAAGAGGCCUCUGAAGCGUUUAUCCCCGUCUGUCUAUGCACUGAAGUCUUGUGAGAGGAAUUAUUGUUCAGGAGCUCAUACCUAUGUUCCUUUUGCCAAGAAGAUAUCAACCUCAGAAGAUAUUGCUGCAGUUAGUUUUGAUGUGUCAUUUGCAUCUAAAGUUGAAUCAGCUUAUGCACCUCAGAGAGGAAUUUCGAAGUUUGAUUUUCGCUGUAAUACUGGUCAUGUCCUCUUCCAGAUUUUUUGA